rnacentral:lncRNA from 1 species
GGAGGAAUUCGGGCCAAUUCGGCACACCUGUGGUGCUUCCACAGAAUCAAUUAGGUUGGAAAAGACCUCUGAGAUCAUCGAGUCCAACCUUUCCUGGCUCUAGAUGCACUGAGUUAUUAUUUUCCCCACGUGCAGAUGUGCUCCUGUUUACCUCACUUCAUAACGACUUCAGUAGAAGUCAGUGCAGAACAGCUUGUAAAUACAUGGAUUUAUUCUGCCACUGCUUCCCUUAAACAUCAAAAUAUUAAAACACAAAAGCUCCCCGAUUACUCCUCAGCAGAUCAGUGACUUUACACACAAGCAGCUUUCCCUGGAGCAAAUUAAAACAACUCUUUCAAAAAAAUUGAGCUGAAGUGGAUUGUUUCCGGAUUCCCAAGAGCUGUGAGGGACACUGUGCAACACCAGGAUCCUCAGAGCGGCUGCAAAAGAAGGAUGAGGCAUAAAGAGGAGGAACUCACCCAGGUCCCACCCGGCAGUGCAGAAGGAACCAGAAUUACCAGCCCUCGCUCUGCCUCGCCCAGGGUGUGCCUUGAUGGAAACAAACUGCUGGACAUUUUCUCCAAGCACACCUCUGCUGGUGCUCAUGUGAGAAGCAAAGCCCUGAACAUAUUUUGACUUGAUCUUCAUUAUGAAGUGAAUUAUUUCUUUGCUAGAGGAAGCAGAAUCCCAGUGAGCAGCAGUCGAAUGUCAGGUCCACAACACUUCAGUUUUCAUUCCCAGCCAUGCAGCUAUGUCAUGUCAGCACCAACACAAAUUUCAAUCAGUGUCACUCUCUCCAAAGCUUGGCCCGAAGAACCAACUUAAAAAUGUUUUCAUAGGAGAGGACCAUAGUUGCCCUGGGGUAUGAGGAGCUCAAAGCA